rnacentral:lncRNA from 1 species
GGAGGAGAGCGAGGCGCGCACAGGGUUAAGCUAGCUCCCUCCCCGGCAGGAGGGAGAGGCGGCGGAGGGGGAAGGCGGCUUUCAGCCUCAGGCUGGGUACCUGAGAGUUAGUUGUACGUUAGAAACCCCGCCGUCGCCUGCGAGUGUGGCAUCUUCCAGGCUCACCGCGGAGGAACCGGGGGGCUCGGAGAGCAUCCCAGCGGCGGCGCGGUCCCUACCCCGGGGGGUCUCUGGCCUGCGGUCCCGCGCGUCCAGGAGUCCAGACGCGCCAGCUCCGCGCCCGCCGCUGCGUCCACCCAGCCCGGGGAUCGGGUUGGUAGUUCUCAACGAUGGGCAGGAGGGACCUUGGCGGCGACCCCUAAAAUAAUACCAUGCCCCGGGAGCCCCGCUGCUGUGGAGCCAGCUCCUUCCCUUCCCACCUCCCCGACCCUGUCGGAUUCGGAUGAGCGCAGUGCGAGGAGCUGCGGCCGCCAGAUUGCAGAUUGAGCUUUACCAAGAAGCUCGUGGGCUGAUCCACACUGACCUGCCUGACCACGCAAGAGGUUCUGCCGGCUUGGUUGGGCCCCUCUUGGCCGUGGAUAACUUGGCUUCACUUGUUGCCUGGGUGGAAAAUUCUUCCUAUUGAAAUAUUUUUGCACAUGGAGGGCAACAGCAAAGAGGCCAACACAGGCUGAGCAGAUCAGAGACCUCAAGAAGAUUCUUUGACCUUGGCCUUCAGGACAUUUCUUCUAGUUGGAGUUCUGGACUUGAGAACCCUGUUCAAUUAUUUUGGUUUGGCUAUCUGUUUCUAUUUUUUAUUUCUAUUUUUUUACUUUUCUUUUCCCUACAGCAUCGUGU